CAUUACCUAGAGUUGUAGGCUUUGCCUGCUAUCUCUUACCCAUGUCUUUUGAGUACCUUCGUUUCCUCGGCGGGUCCGCCCGCCGAUUGGACAAUUUAAACCAUUUGCAGUUGCAAUCAGCGUCUGAAAAAACUUUAAUAGUUACAACUUUCAACAACGGAUCUCUUGGUUCUGGCAUCGAUGAAGAACGCAGCGAAAUGCGAUAAGUAGUGUGAAUUGCAGAAUUCAGUGAAUCAUCGAAUCUUUGAACGCACAUUGCGCCCCUUGGUAUUCCAUGGGGCAUGCCCAUUACCUAGAGUUGUAGGCUUUGCCUGCUAUCUCUUACCCAUGUCUUUUGAGUACCUUCGUUUCCUCGGCGGGUCCGCCCGCCGAUUGGACAAUUUAAACCAUUUGCAGUUGCAAUCAGCGUCUGAAAAAACUUUAAUAGUUACAACUUUCAACAACGGAUCUCUUGGUUCUGGCAUCGAUGAAGAACGCAGCGAAAUGCGAUAAGUAGUGUGAAUUGCAGAAUUCAGUGAAUCAUCGAAUCUUUGAACGCACAUUGCGCCCCUUGGUAUUCCAUGGGGCAUGCC
rnacentral:rRNA from 1 species